GGUACUAAUACCGGAUACGUUCUUUUCUCGCAUGAGAGAAGAUGGAAAGACGGKUUACGCUGUCWCUUAUAUAUGGGCCCGCGGCGCAUUAUCUAGUUGGUGAGGKAAUGGCUCACCAAGGCGACGAUGCGUAGCCGACMUGGGAGGGUGAUCGGCCACACUGGGACUGAGACACGGCCCACACUCCUACGGGAGGCAGCAGUAGGGAAUCUUCCSCAAUGGACRAAAGUCUGACRGAGCAACGCCSCGUGAACGAAAAARGCCUUCGGGUCGUAAAGUUCUGUUGUUAGGGAAGAACAAGUACCAUAUUWACUGCUGGUACCUUGACGGUACCUAACCAGAAAGCCACGGCUAACUACGUGCCAGCAGCCGCGGUAAUACGUAGGUGGCAAGCGUUGUCCGGAAUUAUUGGGGGUAAAGCGCGCGCAGGUGGUUCCUUAAGUCUGAUGUGAAAGCCCACGGCUCAACCGUGGAGGGUCAUUGGAAACUGGGGAACUUGAGUGCAGAAGAGGAA
rnacentral:rRNA from 1 species